rnacentral:rRNA from 1 species
UACGGGGGGGGCAAGCGUUGUUCGGAAUUACUGGGCGUAAAGGGCUCGUAGGCGGCCAACUAAGUCAGACGUGAAAUCCCUCGGCUUAACCGGGGAAUGCAUCUGAUACUGGAUGGCUUGAGAUUGGGAGAGGGAUGCAGAAUUCCAGGUGUAGCGGUGAAAUGCGUAGAUAUCUGGAGGAAUACCGGUGGCGAAGGCGGCAUCCUGGACCGGCAUUGACGCUGAGGAGCGAAAGCCAGGGGAGCAAACGGG